rnacentral:rRNA from 1 species
AAACCAGCACCUCAAGUGGUCAGGAUGAUUAUUGGGCCUAAAGCAUCCGUAGCCGGCUCUGUAAGUUUUCGGUUAAAUCUGUACGCUCAACGUACAGGCUGUCGGGAAUACUGCAGAGCUAGGGAGUGGGAGAGGUAGACGGUACUCGGGAGGAAGUGGUAAAAUGCUUUGAUCUCUCGAUGACCACCUGUGGCGAAGGCGGUCUACCAGAACACGUCCGACGGUGAGGGAUGAAAGCUGGGGGAGCAAACCGGAUUAGAAACCCGAGUAGUCC